AGUGAACGCUGGCGGUAGGCCUAACACAUGCAAGUCGAACGGCAGCACAGUAAGAGCUUGCUCUUACGGGUGGCGAGUGGCGGACGGGUGAGGAAUACAUCGGAAUCUACUUUUUCGUGGGGGAUAACGUAGGGAAACUUACGCUAAUACCGCAUACGACCUACGGGUGAAAGCAGGGGAUCUUCGGACCUUGCGCGAUUGAAUGAGCCGAUGUCGGAUUAGCUAGUUGGCGGGGUAAAGGCCCACCAAGGCGACGAUCCGUAGCUGGUCUGAGAGGAUGAUCAGCCACACUGGAACUGAGACACGGUCCAGACUCCUACGGGAGGCAGCAGUGGGGAAUAUUGGACAAUGGGGCCAAACCUGAUCCAGCCAUACCGCGUGGGUGAAGAAGGCGUUCGGGUUGUAAAGCCCUUUUGUUGGGAAAGAAAAGCAGCAGGUUAAUACCCCGCUGUUCUGACGGUACCCAAAGAAUAAGCACCGGCUAACUUCGUG
rnacentral:rRNA from 1 species